UACGGGGGGAGCAAGCGUUGUUCGGAUUUACUGGGCGUAAAGGGCGCGUAGGCGGCCACCGCAAGUCGACUGUGAAAUCUCCGGGCUUAACCCGGAAAGGUCAGCCGAUACUGCGGGGCUAGAGUGCAGAAGGGGCAACUGGAAUUCUCGGUGUAGCGGUGAAAUGCGCAGAUAUCAGGAGGAACACCGGUGGCGAAGGCGGAUCUCUGGGCCAUUACUGACGCUGGGGAGCGAAAGCGUGGGGAGCGAACAGG
rnacentral:rRNA from 1 species